CUACUCUUAGGUGACUAAUAGAACUAAACUAUUUUAGUUCCUUUUAGUCAAUGUAUUUGAACCUUUAGCUAUUAAAGUGACUAAGUUUAGCUAGCUAAAAUUUAACAAGAGGAACCAAACAAAGUCUAAAUAUAGACAAAAACAAAAACUAAUUAUACAUUUUAUCUGUAAAUCAUAAAAUAAACCUUUUGAACCUACUUUGUCCAUGAUUAGACAAUAAUAUUAAAUAAAAACAAAAUUACUAUAAUACCAAAAAUCAAAAAAAUGGAACCCAAGAAAAAAAAGCGCUCGCCACGUAGACACCGACGCUUUUACUCCGCCGCACACAGUUGCAUGAUCUGUCUGCAUGAUGUCGACAAAAGGCAGUGGGAAGCUAGAAAAGAAACCCCUAGAAGCCUACCACGUCGGGGC
rnacentral:lncRNA from 1 species